rnacentral:lncRNA from 1 species
CAAGAGGAAGGGCCUUGUGGGAUACACCUUGCAGAAUAGGGAUCGGUGUGCCCCGCUGCGAGGGGCCCCCCAUGGGGGCUGUGGCCCCUCCGCAGGCAGGACAUCCCAACCCCUGGCUGGGACUGAACCACCCAGAGCGGAGCGGCUCCCUUUUCAGCCUUGUGAGUCACCUGGCAGGCCCCAGCUGGGCUGGCUGUCCGUGUCCCUCAGCCUGGCUGGUGAUUCCUUGCAGGCCAGAAAUGAAGAGUCCCUGUAGGUUUUGGUUUUGUUUGUUUUAUUUUGUUCUUUCACCUUUUUUCCUCAUUAAAAAAAAAAAGUCCCUGUGGAGUGUACUUAUUUAUUUUUUGAUUAAAGGGAAGUAAAAUGCAUUCUGUUUUGUGUGUUUCCUAAAGAAUCAGUGAUUCCCCUAGGGGACUCCCUGCUUUGGCUGCAGAACAACCUGGAAUGGCUGUUCCCAUUGAAACCAAAGGAAGAGGGAAGGCCCUGAUCCUAAGCUCGGCAGCCCCGCCCAGCCUCAGCCAGCAGAGCCUUCGUUUUGUCGUCUGAAAACUGGGGGAAGAGUAUCUCCCUCAAGGGAGGGCCAG